rnacentral:rRNA from 1 species
AUUGAACGCUGGCGGCAGGCCUAACACAUGCAAGUCGAACGAGUGGCGGACGGGUGAGUAAUGUCUGGGAAACUGCAUGAUGGAGGGGGAUAACUAAUGGAAACGGUAGCUAAUACCGCAUACCAUCAGAUGUGCCCAGAUGGGAUUAGCGAGGUGGUGGGGUAACGGCUCACCAGGGCGACGAUCCCUAGCUGGUCUGAGAGGAUGACCAGCACCACUGGAACUGAGACACGGUCCAGAUCCCUACGGGAGGCAGCAGGGGGGAAUAUUGCACAAUGGUCGCAAGCCUGAUGCAGCCAUGCCGCGUGUAUGAAGAAGGCUUUCGGGUUGUAAAGUACUUUCAGCGGGGAGGCGUUACCCGCAGAAGAAGCACCGGCUAACUCCGUGCCAGCAGCCGCGGUAAUUC